AUGGGUGAGUUUCGUGCAUGUGUACCAAAGAAGGGAGGAACUACCAUAAUCAUGAAUGAAAAAAAUGAGUUGAUUCCGACAAGAACUGUCAUAGGUUGGAGAGUGUGCAUUGACUAUAGAAGGUUGAACACUGCAACAAGAAAAUACCUCUUUCCUUUACCUUUCAUUGGUAAAAUGUUGGAAAGGUUGACUGGUCACGAUUACUAUUGCUUCCUUGAUGGAUAUUCGGGGUAUAAUCAGAUUGCAGUAGACCAUGAAGAUCAAGAAAAAUGA